AUGAACGCUAGCUACAGGCUUAACACAUGCAAGUCGAGGGGCAGCAUGAACUUAGCUUGCUAAGUUUGAUGGCGACCGGCGCACGGGUGAGUAACACGUAUCCAACCUGCCGAUGACUCGGGGAUAGCCUUUCGAAAGAAAGAUUAAUACCCGAUGGCAUAGUUCUUCCGCAUGGUAGAACUAUUAAAGAAUUUCGGUCAUCGAUGGGGAUGCGUUCCAUUAGGUUGUUGGCGGGGUAACGGCCCACCAAGCCUUCGAUGGAUAGGGGUUCUGAGAGGAAGGUCCCCCACAUUGGAACUGAGACACGGUCCAAACUCCUACGGGAGGCAGCAGUGAGGAAUAUUGGUCAAUGGACGAGAGUCUGAACCAGCCAAGUAGCGUGAAGGAUGACUGCCCUAUGGGUUGUAAACUUCUUUUAUACGGGAAUAAAGUGAGGCACGUGUGCCUUUUUGUAUGUACCGUAUGAAUAAGGAUCGGCUAACUCCGUGCCAGCAGCCGCGGUAAUACGGAGGAUCCGAGCGUUAUCCGGAUUUAUUGGGUUUAAAGGGAGCGUAGGCGGACGCUUAAGUCAGUUGUGAAAGUUUGCGGCUCAACCGUAAAAUUGCAGUUGAUACUGGGUGUCUUGAGUACAGUAGAGGCAGGCGGAAUUCGUGGUGUAGCGGUGAAAUGCUUAGAUAUCACGAAGAACUCCGAUUGCGAAGGCAGCCUGCUGGACUGUAACUGACGCUGAUGCUCGAAAGUGUGGGUAUCAAACAGGAUUAGAUACCCUGGUAGUCCACACAGUAAACGAUGAAUACUCGCUGUUUGCGAUAUACAGUAAGCGGCCAAGCGAAAGCGUUAAGUAUUCCACCUGGGGAGUACGCCGGCAACGGUGAAACUCAAAGGAAUUGACGGGGGCCCGCACAAGCAGUGGAGUAUGUGGUUUAAUUCGACGCAACGCGAAGAACCUUACCAAGUCUUGACAUCCCUUGACGAACAUAGAAAUAUGUUUUCUCUUCGGAGCAAGGAGACAGGUGGUGCAUGGUUGUCGUCAGCUCGUGUCGUGAGAUGUUGGGUUAAGUCCCGCAACGAGCGCAACCCUUAUCCUCAGUAGCCAGCAGGUAAAGCUGGGCACUCUGUGGAGACUGCCAGGGAUAACCUGGAGGAAGGUGGGGAUGACGUCAAAUCAGCACGGCCCUUACGUCCGGGGCUACACACGUGUUACAAUGGGGGGUACAGAAGGCAGCUACACGGCGACGUGAUGCUAAUCCCUAAAGCCUCUCUCAGUUCGGAUUGGAGUCUGCAACCCGACUCCAUGAAGCUGGAUUCGCUAGUAAUCGCGCAUCAGCCACGGCGCGGUGAAUACGUUCCCGGGCCUUGUACACACCGCCCGUCAAGCCAUGAAAGCCGGGGGUACCUGAAGUGCGUAACCGCAAGGAGCGCCCUAGGGUAAAACUGGUGAUUGGGGCU
rnacentral:rRNA from 1 species